UCCUAAAACAAUUUUAAACAAGUUUUUAGAAGGAAAUUUCUUGAGAUGAGCUUUAGAAUUUGAGUUACUAAUGAAGUAAGUCGAAUAUGGAAUUCUAUGAACAAGAAGGUAGCUGCUUGGGUUAAGCUGGCAGCUCACAGUAGGCGCACGUGCAGACGAAGUGUUGAGCACCCCUAUGCCUUUAACUUGAUGUUUGAGCUGAGAAGGCUUGCUUUAAAGACUAGGAUGCAUAGAUGCUUAUGUGAAUGGCCAUGUGCGGCUGAAGGAACACUUAGAGCAAGUGUUGGUUGCAUAGUGAGAAUGCGUUUGUGAGGUGUGUUGCCCGUAUAGCAAGAACCUAAAUCUCAAGGAAAUUUCUAAGUGCUUGACCUAUAGCCAGGCUCGAUACUGAAGGACUUGGAGAAGGUAUCCGAGCUAUCAAUACCUAAGGUAGCGAUUAAAUCCCCGAAGAUAGCUCUGCAUCUGCUUUGCCACAUAAAGUCAUGAGUUCUAGUAAUCUGUCAGCUAGGUGGUUACUGUAAAUAGUUGUAUACAUGUUGUUGCAUAUAGGGACUGAGUUUGGGGGUUGGGACUUAUGAGACUUGUGUUGUAAAUUCUAUAAAUGUUUUGUAUUUAAUGAUUAAUGUUUGUUUGGCCAUA